AACGAACGCUGGCGGCAUGCCUAACACAUGCAAGUCGAACGAAGCCUUCGGCCUUAGUGGCGCACGGGUGCGUAACACGUGGGAAUCUGCCCUUCGGUUCGGAAUAACAGUUAGAAAUGACUGCUAAUACCGGAUGAUGACGUAAGUCCAAAGAUUUAUCGCCGAAGGAUGAGCCCGCGUAGGAUUAGGUAGUUGGUAGGGUAAUGGCCUACCAAGCCGACGAUCCUUAGCUGGUCUGAGAGGAUGAUCAGCCACACUGGGACUGAGACACGGCCCAGACUCCUACGGGAGGCAGCAGUGGGGAAUAUUGGACAAUGGGCGAAAGCCUGAUCCAGCAAUGCCGCGUGAGUGAUGAAGGCCUUAGGGUUGUAAAGCUCUUUCGGCCGGGAAGAAAUCGUGGUCUCUAACAUAGGCCAUGGAUGACGGUACCGGACUAAGAAGCACCGGCUAACUACGUGCCAGCAGCCGCGGUAAAGUACAGUGU
rnacentral:rRNA from 1 species